GACGAACGCUGACGGUGUGCUUUAGACAUGCAAGUCGAACGAGAAAGCCCUUCGGGGUGAGUACAGUGGCGAACGGGUGAGUAACACGUGGGCAACCUGCCCCUCGCAGGGGGACAACCGGAGGAAACUCCGGCUAAUACCCCGUAAGCUUGUUGGGUCGCAUGACCCUUCAAGGAAAGGUAGCUUCGGCCGUCCGGCGAGGGAUGGGCCCGCGGUACAUUAGCUAGUUGGUGGGGUAACGGCCCACCAAGGCGACGAUGAUAGCUGGUCUGAGAGGAUGAUCAGCCACACUGGGGACUGAGACACGGCCCAGACUCCUACGGGAGGCAGCAGUCGGGAAUCUUGCGCAAUGGGCGAAAGCCUGACGCAGCAACACCGUGUGAGCGACGAAGGCC
rnacentral:rRNA from 1 species